rnacentral:rRNA from 1 species
GACAGAGGGGGCAAGCGUUGCUCGGAAUCACUGGGCGUAAAGGGCGCGUAGGCGGGAUGGCAAGUCGGUCGUGAAAUCCUUCGGCUCAACCGAAGAACGUCGGCCGAUACUGCCGUUCUUGAGGGAUGCAGAGGAGAUUGGAAUUCCCGGUGUAGCGGUGAAAUGUGUAGAGAUCGGGAGGAACACCGGUGGCGAAGGCGGGUCUCUGGGCCGAUACUGACGCUGAGGAGCGAAAGCGUGGGGAGCGAACAGG